CACACCGCCCGUCACACCAUGGGAGUUGGAUUGACCCGAAGGUGGUGAGCUAACCCGCAAGGGAGGCAGCCAACCACGGUCGGCUCAGCGACUGGGGUG
rnacentral:rRNA from 1 species